rnacentral:rRNA from 1 species
CCUACGGGUGGCAGCAGUAGGGAAUAUUGCUCAAUGGGGGCAACCCUGAAGCAGCAACGCCGCGUGGAGGAUGAAGGUUUUAGGAUUGUAAACUCCUUUUGUGAGGGAAGAUUAUGACGAUAUCUAACGAAUAAGCACCGGCUAACACCGUGCCAGCAGCCGCGGUAAUACGGAGGGUGCAAGCGUUACUCUGAAUCACUGGGCGUCAAGAGUGCGUCGGCGGGGUAAUAAGUCAGAUGUGAAAUCCUGUAGCUUAACUACAGAACUGCAUUUGAAACUGUUACUCUGGAGUGUAGGAGAGGUAGGUGGAAUUCUUGGUGUAGGGGUAAAAUGCGUAGAGAUCAAGAGGAAUAC